rnacentral:pre_miRNA from 1 species
GUUGGGUUGCAAAAGGGAUCUAUUUCAUUGUUCCACACAUUUUUUCUUGAACCUAAAUGUGUGGAUAAUGAUAUAGAUCUUUUUUGUCAACCCAAA